rnacentral:lncRNA from 1 species
UUUUUCCUUUUUAGGAGCACACCUGCAGCAUAUGGAGGCUCCCAGGGUAGGGGUCAAAUUGGAGCUGCAGCUGCUGGCAUACGCCACAGCCACAGCAAUGCAGGACCUGACCCACUUCAACCUACAUUACAGCUCAUGGAAAGGCCAGAUCCUUAACCCACUGAGCAAGGCCAUAUCCUCAUUGGUACUAAUUGGGUUCGUUACUGCUGAGCCACAAUGGGAACUCCAAAAAUUUUUAAAAAUAGGUUUUAAUGUGUUAAAUCUCUUAAAAGUAGAAAAGGAUUAGGGAAUGGAGUGAGAAAAUCUUCUCUGCCCAGCAUUUCCACGUGAAUUGAAAACCUGCUUAACAUUAGAAACUGAUCAAGAAGCUAUGCAUAUUCAGAUUCAAGAAGGUCAACAAUGGAACCAAGAGUUAUCCAAAUAACCAAACUGCUGACUAACACCAAAUCUGGAAUAUUUCUUGUUUAAGGUUGAAGGAACAGAAAAACAAAGCAACAUGAGGUCAUUGAAAAAUUAUUACAAAAUAGGAGCAGAGAAUACUAUAUGGAUGAUUGAGGUAAAGGUAAGAUCUAUGGAGAUAAUUUAAAGCAAACUCCUUUCACCUAAAAAUUUUUUAAAAGGAGCAAGAAUGAGGAGGAAAAGGAGAAAUAGAUGAAGACAAAUAUGAAGAAGAAGGGGAUGACGAAAAGGAAGCAAAAGAUGAAAUAGCUUCUGUAAAACAGAACACACCACCAAAGGGAGUAUCUUAAGAGCAAAAAGAAGAUGAUAAAAUAAGAUUAGAUUUCAUGCAAAUGAAAAGAGCAAUGCUAAAAUUAAAAUCCUCUGGGGGGUGAAACAGCAUGCAGAAAAUUAAAUUAUUAAUAUGGGGACAAAUGUGAAAAAAAUUUUCAGAGAGCUGUCAGUCAAUAUGACAUAAUAUCAUGUUUUACCCUUCUUUUUUUGUCAACAGUUCAAACAUAGGAGUAACAGAUAAAUUAUUAAAAAUAAUAAAUUUAUAAGACAUACUAUACUCAAAAACAAAAUAAAUAUCUGCAGACCAAAAUAAAACAGAAAGAUAAUGCUGCCAGCAGGGCCAAAAGCACUAGUAUGCUGGGCAUGAGGUCUAGAAUAAGGCUAAGGAACCCAGGAAUUUAUAUCCGAGAGAGAGAAGAACUAGUCCCGCUGUGACAAGUUGGAGGCUGACACAAUAACACCAAGCCAGAAAAGAAAGAUUGAGAAAGAAAGCAGGAGCAAAGAGUUAAAUUGCACCUGGGCUGCCCCUCCUUAUUGGAUAUAUUUGUUAUAAGCUUACACUGAGCAGAAAACACAAGACCUGGUUCUGGACCUCAAGGCCGGGUGGAGGUCACAGAGAAAAAUAAGUAUGAGUGAGCAUCCAAGAGAGGCGAAAGGUAAAAGCAGAAGGGAGUGAGGGGAAGAUAUUUAAAAACCCAUGCAGGCCACCUAGCCACAAUUAAAAAACACAUGAUUAUCAGAAAUCUAGCUCAGAGAGAGUCAUCAAAAUAAACACUCAAAAGAAGAAUUCAUUCAAUUUUAAAAGAUAGAGUAAUCUGAAGAUGAGUUUCAAAACAGUGUAUUUAUUGAUGGAGGAUAAUGGGAGAAAAAGAAUAUAUGUAUGUAUAACUGGGUCAAUGCUGUACAGCAGAAAUUGACAGAACAUUGUAAAUCAACUAUAAUAAAAAUUAAAAACAGUAUGUUUAUGAUCUAAAGAGAACUAAGAAAAUUAUAAUGUAAUAAAAAAACAAGAAAUUAUUAAAUAAAAUAGGCAGUAUUGGAACAGGUAGAUUUGAAAGACGACCAAUAGAAAUUCCAGAACUUAAAAAAAAUUAAAAUAUAAAAACCUGUUUUAUCAGCAAAAAUUAUGGAGUGAGGACCACUGAAAAUUCUCUCCUCCAUAGAAAACUGGUGAAAAUUAUCAGACUCAAUUUUUUCAGAACUCUGAAAUACACGCAAAGUCUUGCAGCAUUUCAGGGAGCAUUUAUUCAAGAAAAACAGUUGAAUCUUGAAAAGAACCAUAGCCUUGUGGUGUUUUAAAUUGCCCUAGUCCCAUCCUCCAUUCUCCAGCUCUAUGAGAGUUUUGAAAAUUAACAGCCUGCAAUCACAGUGAAAACUGGCAGUGUGGCAGCCAUUGGAGUAGGCAGAACAGAGUUAGAGCUUCUUCUAAGCCCUGUUGCCAGUGUAUAGCCAUUCCUUGAUCUUUCUGGUGGUUCUUUGAAGACCACAUUUGCAAGACAGCCUUUAUUUGACCUGAAUCAGAGCUUGCCCAGGACAAAAAGCCUUUUCUCUGGGGAAGAUUGUUGAAAAUAUUUACAGGUAAUUGUUUAACUUCAUAACUGCAUAAGGAAUUGGGUUACAGUUGGUGUGAACUGUAAGAUUAACCAAAAAACUUAAGAGGGGAAAGAGAUAUCAAUAGGAAUUUGCAAAACCCCAAUAUAUUCCUAGAAAUCUAGAAGUCCAUGUACAGGAAAGGAAUGUACACAUGCUCAGGAACAACAUGAGCAGGCUCUAACCACACAUCUCUGGCUGCUCUUGAGGUUCUGCACAAGGAGGAAGUAAAUACCAAGGCAGACUUGUCAGCCACCUGGCUCAGUGUUGAAGGCAGGCCUAAACACACAUACAGAGCCCCUUGGCAAAGAUUGGAAGGCUUAUUGUUCUAGACGUCUAAGAAAAUCUCUGUCAUUAGCUGACCUCAGAGCUAACUGAGCAGAGAUUUCAAUAGCCACACAUGACAAAUAUUGUAGACUUUACUGAGUUAGUUCAGAUGUCACUAAACAUAUAGCAACAACUUUAACAAACAGCAAUGUCAAGAAGGCUUGGAGGGGGGGAAAUUGUUUUCUAGGGUUGCCACAUUAUAGUAUUUAAAGUGUCCAAUUUUCAACUGAAAGUUAAAAGAUAUUCAAAGGAACAAAAAAGUAUGGCCAAUAUACAGCAACAACAACAGAAGUCAAUCAAUAGAAACUAUCCCUGAGGAAACUCAGAUGUUGGACUUACUAGGCAAAGACUUUAAGUCAGGCAUUUUAAAUAUAUUCAAAGAACUAGAGGAAACCAUGUCUAAAAAAACUAAAUAAAACUAUGAGAAUAAUGUCUCACCAAAUACAGAAUACUAGUAAAAAGUUAGAAAUUAUAAGGAGGAGAAAAAUAGAAAUUCUGGUGUUUAAGAGGACAAUAACUGAAAUAAAAAAAUUCCUGAGGGGUUCAACACCAGAUUUGAGCAGGCAGAAUAAAGCAUCACCAAACUUAAAUAUAGAUCAAGUGAUAUUAUCUUAUU